rnacentral:rRNA from 1 species
GAGUUUGAUCAUGGCUCAGGACGAACGCUGGCGGCAUGCCUAGUACAUGCAAGUCGAGCGGAGUUCAUUUGAAAGCUUGCUUUCAAAUGAAUUUAGCGGCGGACGGGUGAGUAACACGUAAGCAACCUGCCCUCAAGACUGGGAUAACUACCGGAAACGGUAGCUAAUACCGGAUAAUUUCUUUCCUCUCCUGAAGAGAGAAUGAAAGGCGGAGCAAUCUGCCGCUUGGGGAUGGGCCUGCGGCGCAUUAGCUAGUUGGUGGGGUAACGGCCCACCAAGGCGACGAUGCGUAGCCGACCUGAGAGGGUGAACGGCCACACUGGGACUGAGACACGGCCCAGACUCCUACGGGAGGCAGCAGUAGGGAAUCUUCCGCAAUGGGCGAAAGCCUGACGGAGCAAUGCCGCGUGAGUGAUGAAGGUUUUCGGAUCGUAAAGCUCUGUUGCCAGGGAAGAACGUCCGGUAGAGUAACUGCUACCGGAGUGACGGUACCUGAGAAGAAAGCCCCGGCUAACUACGUGCCAGCAGCCGCGGUAAUACGUAGGGGGCAAGCGUUGUCCGGAAUUAUUGGGCGUAAAGCGCGCGCAGGCGGUCAUUUAAGUCUGGCGUUUAAACCUUGGGCUCAACCUGGGGUCGCACUGGAAACUGGGUGACUUGAGUACAGAAGAGGAAAGUGGAAUUCCACGUGUAGCGGUGAAAUGCGUAGAUAUGUGGAGGAACACCAGUGGCGAAGGCGAUUUUCUGGGCUGUAACUGACGCUGAGGCGCGAAAGCGUGGGGAGCAAACAGGAUUAUAUACCCUGGUAGUCCACGCCGUAAACGAUGAGUGCUAGGUGUUAGGGGUUUCGAUAC